rnacentral:rRNA from 1 species
AUGGUCUCGGCGCAGUAGCGCGGCACGGAGAAGCCGCCGCCGUUGUUGGCGUCGGACUGCGUGAGCGUCUUGGCGAAGGAGGCGGGCUUGUCCUCCUGGGCCGCGGCGGCGGCGGCAAUGGCGUCGUCGGCGUCGGCGGCGUCCUGGGACCGGGCGGGGACGAGGCGGAUCUUGGCGAAGACCUCGUCGGUGUCCGGAUCGGCCAUGAAGCGGACGGCGGCGACGCGGCAGAGGACGAGCGCCUGCAGCCGGGCACCGGGCGGGAAGUCGACGGCGCCGGCCUGGCCCUGCGCAUGCUCCGCGUGGCCCUGCGGGAAGUAG